rnacentral:rRNA from 1 species
UACGUAGGGUGCGAGCGUUGUCCGGAAUUAUUGGGCGUAAAGAGCUCGUAGGCGGUGUGUCACGUCGUUCGUGAAAACCUGCAGCUUAACUGUGGGCGUGCGGUCGAUACGGGGCAUCACUGGAGUUCGGCAGGGGAGACUGGAAUUCCUGGUGUAGCGGUGAAAUGCGCAGAUAUCAGGAGGAACACCGGUGGCGAAGGCGGGUCUCUGGGGCCGAAUACU